CCUGAUGGAUGGAUGAAUGCAGAGACCCAGAAACAGGGAACUCAUAACUUGGAUGGCAAGUUUUUUAUGGAAUGAGCUGAAUUUAAGCCUUCAGAUCUUUGUUCUCAUCCAGCUGGAUCCCAAGCCUGCAAGGAAACAAAAAGAAAAACUUCCCUGUGAGCUGGGGAGCUUCAAAGCAAAUUUAGAACUGUCACCUCUGCUCCGGGGAGGAAACACCGAAACCCUGGAGCUGCGGUGAUUUUAUGAGAGCCCUGAGAAAAAGGCUGAAGGAGAAAAGAGUAAUCCCAGCAUGGAGAGAGGGAGAACAGACCUUGUGCUGAGCUCCUCCACCUGAGAUUCCAGGGACAGCUCGGACAGGGCUGCAGGGAGCUGCUCUCUGUCACCCUCCUGCAAGGGGAGGCUUGGCUGGGCUGUGGAUUCAAUCACAGAAUGGAGUUUCAGUAAAACAGCAAAUCAGUUUUGGCAGCACGCUGAGUUAAUAUCAAAAAACAAUGAGUAAAUAUUCUGUAAAAUCAUGUACUUAAUCUCUCAAAUAAAUAUUUAAUCUCCUAAAUUCUAUGCUACAUCCAUAACAUAUCAUAAAUAUAUGACAGAACUAUUUUAAUUUCCUUUCAUGAUGAAUUUUCAUUUCAGGGCUAAAUAUGUGCCUAACGUGUAAGGAGGAAAACAAUGAAUCUGUAACAUUGAAGUGACCAAAACAAGAGGUGUAAAACAGCUGGAAAGGAUUAAUUUGAUGUUAAUUUUUUAAUUGUGUUCCAAAUUAUGACAGCUGUUGCUUCCUGAAUGUCUGGGAUAAAGCUUGCAUGUGGCACCCAUUGAAGUGACUUUUGUAAAGAACUUUGAUCCUCAGCAUAAACAAAAUGUAGAUUCUGUACUUCAAGGUGUAUUUCAGAACAAGGCUCUAACUCAGGAAUGCUUUCCUAAAUAAAGCUAUAUCCAAAA